rnacentral:lncRNA from 1 species
GGGCACAGCCGGAUCGGGGGUGCUAAGGGUUUCUGGAGCACAGCUGGGGGUGGGGUGUGUUUUAUCCUUGUUCCUCCCUUUCGAGCAUCAAACCCCUUCCCAGCGCCCCCCUCUGCUCUCCUGAACCCCCCGGGCUGAGGAGCAAUGGGGAGGGGCUCGGGGAGGUGGGGCAGGGGCAUGGCUGGGUGUUCCCGGUGCGGGGUGGGGGUCUGGGCACCCCCUCCCCUGCUGCCACCUCAUCUUCCCCCUUACUGGGACUCCGGCUGAAUCCCGGUGGCUGAUCCCAAGGAAAUGCCUGAGGCUGGUCCAGGGGAUGCUGAUUCUCCUUGCAGGGCCCAGGUGAGGAGGAGGAAGGAGGUCUGAGCCUCUCUGCCCCACCCCAGCACCCCUGAAUCACCUGGAACAAGGGGAAGCUCCCGAGCAUCUGACAAGGAAAACCAAGGUUUGCCAAACCCAGGUCCUGGCAGGAAGAUGUGGUGAUGGUUUCCCUGGUGUCUGGAGCUGUGUGCCCUCACCUGGAGCAGCAGGAGCCUCGUGCCACCCCAAGGCAGAGAAGGAACCUUCGUCAUGUCCACCAGAACCUCUCCAGGGGACACCCCGAGCCCCCCGCGUCCCCCUGCAGUGGCGGCCGGGCGGCGGCAGAGGGCGACAGCGGCCCGGCGGUGACAGCGACACCGACACGGCCCCGACGCUGGCACCGACACGGCCCCGGCCGCGCUGCGCUGCCAGAAACUUUAUUGGGGACAAGCCACGGAGUCCCUGCGGCCCCUCCCACACACCGAGGAGGGGCUGAAGCCCCCCAGUUUUCCAUAGGUUUUGCUCCUGGCUGGGUUGUCUCCCUUAGGGAUGUCCCCACCUGUCCCUGCUCUGGAGUCUGGGGUCCCCUGUCCCCACCCUGCACCCCCCAGCUCUGGGGAACAGGCUCUUUGGACCAUUCCUGGGAAAAGAGGGAUAGAUGCUCACCAUGAGAAGCAUCACCCUCUCCCUGUACCUCAAAAAAUAGGAUUUGAGUGAUUUUACCCUCCCCUGAGGGGACCACUGGGCUACUAAGGCACAAAAUGAGGAGAAGGAGCCGGGGGGUCUCACCCUCUGGGCUCUGGGGGUGUCAAGGGAGGCUGGAACCUGGGAAAAUCCAGCACCCCACAUCCCACUCCCCAUCUUCAUCCGAGUGGGAUCGCUCCCUUUCCUGCUCCUCCACACCCCAAAAUUUAAGGCAAAACUCAUUCCUGGACCAACAAAGACGAUGCAGAGCCCUGGGGUGACGGGAGCAGCUCCAGCCCCACAAGUCCAUCCCUGGGAGGGGAACUAGGGUGAAAGGGGGGGAUCCCCAUCCCCUCCCCAUCCCCAGCCUGGCCUCAGUCGUCGGCCACAAUGGAGAGGGCGCGGAGCUCGCUGAGCUUGGCGUCGUUCUCGCGCUCACGCUGCUCGUCGCUCA